CUUCCAUAAAUGCUCCGAAUGACUUCAAUUCUUCGCUAAUUGCCACAACAACCACCCUACACAUAAAAGAACACAAAACGAGUAAAAACGAACAUGAAAACAAGAAAGUAACAACGAUUAAGCUCGAAAUGGACAACGAUUCGUGGAUAUGAAUUCCACUUAUCAAAAUCCCCCAAACUUAAACCGUGCUAGUCCUCGAGCAAAAAACAAACUACAUACUAUGCAAUGCAAUGAGAUGGAAUAUAUUUAAUAUAAAUAAUCACAAGUCCAACAGUAUCACAUAAUCAAAAUUAUCUCACUGGCCUCAGAGAAAACAAGCGAACUCUACAAUAUUAAACACCAAAACCAAUCAAGAAUUCCUUAUUAAUUCUCAAAUCUUAAACCAUUAUCACUGGUAUAAUGUGCGUGUGUGUUCAACAUCCAUGACAACUGAUACGGACUCAAUUUUUUUUUCUUUUCAUAGAUAGAUGGUUGGCGAGUGCGUUUUACGCUCCAUCUCACGCUCGUGUUUAUGGGGAGUAUAUUUUCCUCAACCCACCAUAAGACUCAACUAGAUAUUAUUAUUUUUUUUAAAGCUUAUAUACCCUACCUUUCUCUUCCAAACUUAAGUUCUUGCCUAAUUCAUCAUUUUAACUGCCUAUCAUGUCAUUUUCUCAUUCACCCUAGCAUUAUCCUUUAGAAAAUCUUUAUGUAUCACUUUGAACUAACCAGUCACACAGAUGUUAUUAGCGUGCUAACCUUUUUAUACCAGUUUCAAACAAGCACAAGAUUCGAUUCAUAACAGAAACUAUAUCACAGUUCUAAUAAUCAAUGUUGUAUUGCUUAACUUAUUCUCAAUCUCAUCAUUGGCCCAAAAUAACAUGAACUGCAACACUGCUGGACAUACGCAAACACAAUAUGUAACUAAAUUAAAUUUUUUUUAGAUUAAAAAUCAAACAUAACAUGACGUAAUGCAAUAACAAAAACAAAAAUAAAAAUGAAAUAACAAAAGUGAUCUAAACUACUAUGAACUAAUAUGCAAAACUAGAAUGCAAUGACAAAUGUAAGCCUAACUAAUGACAUUAUGCAUGCAAACAAGAAUUUAAAUCCCCCAAACUUAAGAAAUAAAAUGCCCUCAUUGGAUGAAUAAUCGCAAUUAAGUGUAUGAGGACUUCCCUGCAAUCGCCUAAGUCUAGGGAGGUGGUGGUUGAUCUUCGUCCUCCGAAUCACUUGGCAGAAACCUUGGCAUUGGCAUGGGCUGCUGAUAUGGAAAUUGCGCAGCUGGAUUGAAUCUCUGAAGUGUCGUGGUGAGUGAAGCGAAAGACGUGUUUAUAGCAUCAAAUAUGUGGUCUUGCCUCAAUGCGAGUCACCGCAUCUCCCGACGUGCUGCUUUGUUGUGUGCAUCCAUUUAACGUUGAAAGUCAAGAAAUUGAGGAUUGGAUAAUGCCUCGGACUGCGGUACCUGCUCGGUUCCUUGAUCUCCC
rnacentral:lncRNA from 1 species